rnacentral:rRNA from 1 species
GAUGAACGCUGGCGGCGUGCCUAAUACAUGCAAGUCGAGCGAACGGACGAGGAGCUUGCUGCUCUGACGUUAGCGGCGGACGGGUGAGUAACACGUGGAUAACCUACCUAUAAGACUGGGAUAACUUCGGGAAACCGGAGCUAAUACCGGAUAAUAUUUUGAACCGCAUGGUUCAAAAGUGAAAGACGGUCUUGCUGUCACUUAUAGAUGGAUCCGCGCUGCAUUAGCUAGUUGGUAAGGUAACGGCUUACCAAGGCAACGAUGCAUAGCCGACCUGAGAGGGUGAUAGGCCACACUGGAACUGAGACACGGUCAAGACUCCUAAGGGAGGCAGCAGUAGGGAACCUUACGCAAUGGGCGAAAGCCUGACGGAGCAACGCCGAGUGAGUGAUGAAGGCCUUCGGAUCGUAAAACUCUGUUAUGAGGGAAGAACAUAUGUGUAAGUAACUGUGCACAUCUUGACGGUACCUAAUCAGAAAGCCACGGCUAACUACGUG